UCUUGCAAUACGCGCCUGCGUAUCAAGGUGAUACACUAGCGCAUUUUCUUUCUAUAUGAGAACCACACAAGUUAAGUUCAAAGAUAAUGUAAUGGUCGAAAGAUGUUCAAUAGUGUACUUGCUGAUAAUUAUUAUAAAUUUGAUAUUUUCUUCUUGGUAAAAUCCGAAAAUGAAUAUAAAUUCUUCAGACAGCUUUUUUCCAUCGUCCUGGUUCCCUACAUAAAUAAUUGAUGCCAAAACUCGGGAAUCAACAAAAUGAAAAGUCAAGGAACAAAAAUGGUCAAAACAAAGAAUGACGCAGAUCGUAAUACUUUGAACAAAUAAUUCGAGAUACAGGCAAACGAAUUCUGGAGAGAUGAGUAACUAAGCAAUAGUAUGGGAUUCGUGAAAAAAAUUGGACCGCUGGACUGACUGGACCGGGGACUCGAACCACAGAUCUUUCGCUUUCCGGGCGACUGCUUUUUAACCAAUUGAGCUAUCCAGGGCCCACCGACCAAUCCUUCUCACGAAUGCCUGAUAAGUUUGGCAUGGAGGCGCUCGUCCCACAAUACUGAUCCAAAAAACUAGUAGUGGUUCCACUAUUAAUUUGACUUGGGAUCACGUUAAACGAUACUUGUGAAAUAUCCGCCAUUUAUGAUUCGGGCUGAGUUUAUUAAUGAAAUGUUCGAGCUAAAGAUCAACCAUUUGCGCAAUGCUGGAUUCAAAAAGAAGCUCGAUGUUUGGGUGCCACACCAAUUAACAUCAAAAAACAUGAUACAUCGAAUUUCCAUCUGCGAAACCUUGGCCAAACGGAAUGAAAUCGACCCAUUUCUUAAACGGAUGGUGACUGGGGAUGAGAAAUGGGUCACAUACGACAAUAUUGUGCGAAAAUGAUCGUGGUCAAAGCUCGAUGAAGCUACUCAAACGGUGGCCAAACCAGGACUAACGGCCAGGAAGGUUCUACUGUGCAUUUGGUGGGACUGAAAAGGAAUCAUUUAUUAUGAGUUGUUUAAAUAUGGCCAAACACUAAAUUCGGAUCUCUACUGUCAACAACUGGACCGUUUGAAGCUAGGGAUUGACCAGAACCGGCUAGAAUAGGCCAACAGGAGAAGUGUUGUGUUCCAUCAGAACAACGCCAGGUCACACAUGUCUAUAGUGACUUCCCACAAGCUCCAGGAGGUUGGUUAGGAAGUUUUAAUGUAUCCAUCAUAUAGACCAGACCUUACACCAAGCGAUUACCAUCUUUUUGUUGCACUGUAAAACUUUCUUAUUGAUAAGAAAUUGACAUUAAAAGAAGAUUGUAAAAAUCGAUCACUAGAGUUUAUCGCAAAUGGGAACCAAGACUUUUAUGAGACAGGUAUUGUGAAGCUAUCUUUAAAACGGCAAUAAAUUAACGAACAAAACGGUGCAUAUUUGAUCAAAAUCAGACAGACUUAUAUGUUAAAUAAAG
rnacentral:misc_RNA from 1 species